UAGCCCGACGUCAUGGAAGUGGACGGAAGAAAUCAGCAACAUCAGCAGAAAUGGUUCGAAAAGUAAAGAAGCGACUUGAUCGAAAUCGAAACCUUCGUAGUGGCCGAAAAAUGGCCCGUGAGCUGAACAUAUCGCAAUAUUCCAUUCGGCAAAUAUUGAAAAAUGAGCUCGAGGUAAAGUCAUUGAAAUUCCAAAAAGUGCAAGAACAUACACUGCAACAGAAAGAAAAUUGACUCAAAAGAGCUAAAGAGUUGCUUUGCUUGGCUGAAAGUGGUGAACUGUCGAUUUUGUCGGUUUUCUGCGAUGAGAAAACAUUCGUUGUCCAGCAGUUUGUAAACAAACAAAAUGAUCGUGUUUACUUGCCAAAGAGGUCAGCUGAAAAUGUGCACCUUCGGUUGGCCAACAGAACUCAAGCGCCGACCAUAGU